ACCUUCCUGCUGGAACUGCUAAGGACUACAAGUAAAAGGAUCCAACCCGGAAUACCACAUUAUAUUCGGUCAUCUCGUAUCUCAAGUCUCCACUGCUCUGUUACAGUUUACCAAUCUUCCCGGAUUCUUCAAGAUUCUACAGCUUUCAGGCAUCCUGGCCAGUUUCCUUUUAGACUAUCCCUAAAGCUGGAUUUUUCGUAUGUUUUCCUCAUGAUUAGACUCCAUUUAGGGGGUUUGGAGAAGAAUAUCAAAUUUCCUUUUAUCAUUGUCAUGCCAGAGGUUUUCUGCAAUUAAUAUGAUUUGUCAUUGGUGAUGAUCACCCUAACCACUUGUUUAAAGUAUUUUUGUAGCUUUCUCCACUGUAAAGAUGCUAUUUUUCCUUUUAUACUCUGUUCUGUGAAAGGAGUCCACAUCAUACUGAAGAGGUUAAUCCAUAUUCCCUCUGUGAAGGCAUUUCAUCUUUUCCUGGGCAAAUAUGACUGCUUAGUUUUAAGAUUAUCAUUACCGGCCAAAACGGUGAGAAAAAUAAAACUUGGAAGGCUGGAACUCCUUGAUAGCUUUGAAAGUGUUUGCUUCCUGAAGAGUUGCAUUUCCAGAAACAUGCAGUGGGAAACUAUUGUGCUUUGGGUCCUGCCUUCAAGCAAGAUAACACUUCGCUACUCAAAGGAGACAGAAAAUUUGUGUAGACGUUGGAGAAUUCAAAGAAUCCCUGAGAAGCCUGGAGAACUGAGCUCAGAAAAUGGAGCAAGAAUAAGAAGGACACUACGUAGCCAGAACCACAGCCAGAGCAAAGACAUGGAACUAGAACCCUGACCACACGAAGCUGGGGCUGCUGCUAAGAUGCUCUCAUUGGCCCUGUGGAUACUGCUGACCCAGAAAAGUUGAUGCUGUUGUUGCUUCUGCUACACCUCUCCAAUCUCAUUUUCCAUUGUGCUGAGAGUCACUAGAUUACUUGAUUUGAAGUGAAUGAAUCUAAUUAGCCAAAAUUAGAUCUAAUUAGCUGAAGUGGAAACUGAGGAAAUAAAUAUCUGGGGUUUUCAGCCUUUAUAUUAGGAAGCAGGCUCUGCCUACAACCAGGACAGAGGAACUUCAGAAAUCACUAAGCGAUUUCAGAUUUGGUCAGAUCCAAACAGAAAGGGGGCGUGGAGAAAAGGAGGGGAGGAGAAGGGAGAAGGAUGAGGAAGGAAAGAAGGAAAAAUGCAUGCCUAGAAGUAUAGGAAUACCUGGUUGGGUGGAGCAGAGACCACACUGCUGAGUAGAAAUCGUUCACUAACAUACUUGAGAUGAUUGCUUUGCAGGAAUCUUGAAGAGCAAAUACAAAGGACCUUGAAGAGCAAAUACAAAGGAAUGAGAUUGGCACAUUUAAAUAACAGGAAAACAGCAUGGCCACUGUGGCUGGAGGAAAGGGCUCUUCUUUGAUGGGUGAUGUGGGUGCUGAGAUAGAAAGGAUCCUGAGACUAUUCAGAGUCUUGUAUGCCACAGGAGGGACUUUGGAUUUUAUUUAAGGGAAGAUAUUGAAAUAUGUUGUGGUUUUCUUGUUUUUUAUGUUUUUGUUUGUCUUAAUUACUUUUUGUAGGAGAAUGGUUUAAAAUGAUUCAGUUUUAAAAUAUCACUCUAUAAGCUUUGUGAAAAUGGACUACUGGGAGACAAGAGCGGAUAGAGG
ensembl:lncRNA